UACAGAGGUCUCAAGCGUUGUUCGGAUUCAUUGGGCGUAAAGGGUGUGUAGGUGGCGCCGUAAGUCGGGUGUGAAAUUUCGGAGCUUAACUCCGAAACUGCAUUCGAUACUGCGGUGCUUGAGGACUGGAGAGGAGACUGGAAUUCAUGGUGUAGCAGUGAAAUGCGUAGAGAUCAUGAGGAAGACCAGUGGCGAAGGCGGGUCUCUGGACGACUCCUGACACUGAGGCACGAAAGCUAGGGGGAGCAAACAGG
rnacentral:rRNA from 1 species